rnacentral:rRNA from 1 species
UACGACGGGGGCUAGCGUUGUUCGGAAUUACUGGGCGUAAAGCGCACGCAGGCGGCUCGAUAAAUUAGAAGUGAAAGCCCCGGGCUUAACCUGGGAAUUGCUUUUAAGACUGUCGGGCUAGAAUCCAGAAGAGGGUAGUGGAAUUCCGAGUGUAGAGGUGAAAUUCGUAGAUAUUCGGAAGAACACCAGUGGCGAAGGCGACUACCUGGUCUGGCAUUGACGCUCAUGUGCGAAAGCGUGGGGAGCAAACAGG